rfam:Triticum aestivum genome assembly, contig: Triticum_aestivum_CS42_TGACv1_scaffold_471430_6AL
UAGAUACUCCCUCCGUUCCGAAUUACUUGUCUUGGAUUUGUCUAGAUACGGAUGUAUCUAGCUCUAGAUACAUCCGUAUCUAGACAAAUCCAAGACAAGUAAUUCGGAACGGAGGGAGUAGAUG